UACGUAGGGUGCGAGCGUUGUCCGGAAUUAUUGGGCGUAAAGAGCUUGUAGGCGGUCUGUCGCGUCUGCUGUGAAAAUCCGGGGCUCAACCCCGGACUUGCAGUGGGUACGGGCAGACUAGAGUGUGGUAGGGGAGACUGGAAUUCCUGGUGUAGCGGUGAAAUGCGCAGAUAUCAGGAGGAACACCGAUGGCGAAGGCAGGUCUCUGGGCCACUACUGACGUUGAGAAGCGAAAGCAUGGGGAGCGAACAGG
rnacentral:rRNA from 1 species